UUUCCGGUGGCCAUAGUGGAAGGGAAACACCCGGUCCCAUUCCGAACCCGGUCGUUAAGCCUUCCAACGCUGAUGGUACUGCACGAGGGAUCGUGUGGGAGAGUAAGACGCUGCCGGAAAC
rnacentral:rRNA from 1 species